rnacentral:rRNA from 1 species
UUGGAGGGCAAGUCUGGUGCCAGCAGCCGCGGUAAUUCCAGCUCCAAUAGCGUAUAUUAAAGUUGUUGCAGUUAAAAAGCUCGUAGUUGAAUUUCGGGAUCAAUAUAUUGGUCAUGCUUAGGUAUGUACUGGUAUUAUUGAUUUCUCCCUUCUGAAGAACCAUAAUGUCAUUAAUUUGAUGUCAUGGGGAAUCAGGACUGUUACUUUGAAAAAAUUAGAGUGUUUAAAGCAGGCUUUCGCUUGAAUACAUUAGCAUGGAAUAAUGAAAUAGGACGUUUGAUUCUAUUUUGUUGGUUUCUAGGAUCGACGUAAUGAUUAAUAGGGAUAGUUGGGGGCAUUAGUAUUCAAUUGUCAGAGGUGAAAUUCUUGGAUUUAUUGAAGACUAACUACUGCGAAAGCAUUUGCCAAGGAUGUUUUCAUUAAUCAAGAACGAAAGUUAGGGGAUCGAAGACGAUCAGAUACCGUCGUAGUCUUAACCAUAAACUAUGCCGACUAGGGAUCGGAUGAUGUUAACUUUUUAAUGACUCAUUCGGCGCCUUACGGGAAACCAAAGUGUUUGGGUU